UACGGAGGGGGCGAGCGUUAUUCGGAAUUAUUGGGCGUAAAGGGCGCGUAGGCGGCUUGAUGUGUCAAAGGUGAAAUCCCUCGGCUCAACUGAGGAACUGCCUUUGAAACUGUCUGGCUUGAGGCCGGGAGAGGGUAGCGGAAUUCCUGGUGUAGCGGUGAAAUGCGCAGAUAUCAGGAGGAACACCAGCGGCGAAGGCGCUGCUCUGGGCCGGUACUGACGCUGAGGAGCGAAAGCGUGGGGAGCGAACAGG
rnacentral:rRNA from 1 species